rnacentral:rRNA from 1 species
GAUGAACGCUGGCGGCGUGCUUAACACAUGCAAGUCGAACGGAAAGGCCCAAUCUUGCUUGGGUACUCGAGUGGCGAACGGGUGAGUAACACUUGGGUUAUCUGCCCCUCACUUCGGGAUAUGCCUAGGACACUUGGUCUCAUCCCGGCUAGGACAGUUGUUUGUAUGCCAUUGUGGAGAUUUUUUUCGUUGUUGGUUGUGCACGCGGCCUCUCAGCUUGUGGUCGGGGUAAUGGCCUAACAAGGCGUCGGCGGGUAGCCGGCGUGAGAAGGUGUACGGCAACAGUGAGACUGAGAUACGGACCCGACCCCGACGGGAGGCAGAAGCGGGGAAUAGUGCUAAAUGGGAGCAAGCCUGAUGCAGAGACGGCGAGUGGGGGAUGACGGUCAACGGGUUGUAAACUCAUUUCGCUAGGGACGAAGCGUUAUGUGACGGUACCUAGAGAAGAAGCACCGGCUAACUACGUG